CCUACGGGUGGCAGCAGUGAGGAAUUUUGGUCAAUGGGCGCGAGCCUGAACCAGCCAAGUAGCGUGAAGGAUGAAUGCCCUACGGGUUGUAAACUUCUUUUAUAAAGGAAUAAAGUCAGGCACGUGUGCCUUUUUGUAUCUACUUUUUGAAUUAGGAUCGGUUAACUCGGUGCCAGAAGCCGCAGUAAUACGGAGGCUCCGAGCGUUAUCCGGAUUUAUUGGGUUUAAAGGGAGCGUAAAUGGGUUGUUAAGUCAGUUUUGAAAGUUUGCUGCUCAACCGUAAAAUUGCAAUUGAUACUGGCAGCCUUGAGUACAGUUGAGGUAGGCGGAAUUCGCGGUGUAGCGGUGAAAUGCUUAGAUAUCACGAAGAACUCCGAUUGCGAAGGCAGCCUACUAACCUGCCACUGACAUUGAUGCUCGAAAGUGUGGGUAUCAAACAGGAUUAGAUACCCUUGUAGUC
rnacentral:rRNA from 1 species